UCAGUUCAGAGGUCACCCUUAAUGUACGGUGCCCGUUUUGAUUCUGACAGAGGUUGUAGUUGCAGCUGACUUUCCAAGGCUGCAAUACGUGGUGGUGGGACAGCCUUGGGCUUCUGCGUUUGCAUUAAUCCCACGUUUCCCAUCUCUGCCUUGCAGCUCUGCUGGUGCUGGAAGUGGACGGUAUUGCAGUAUGAAUGAAGGAGCAGCUGCUGAUGGGAGGCAGGAAGUCCAGGCUCAUGAACGCUGAGGCAUCUGCCAGUACAGCACCAGAGGAGGCAGUAGUGAUGUUGGGGGGCAGUCGCAGAAGAAGAUGAGGAGUUCCCCAGCAGGAAGCCACAAACCCGGCAGGAACCUGCAGGGGAAUCGCAGCAUGUGUGGGUGCCCAGGAGGAAAUGCAGCCCCAGCGUCUGAGCAGCGCCUGGCCAUGGAGUGCUGCGGCCCAAGAACAGCGCUAUUCUGCCCUUGCCGAGAUGGCUUUCCAAGGAGGACUUGUCUGUGGGGGUCAAGGAGGUUAUUUGGGUUAUGUGGGCUCGUUGGGGUCUGUCCUCACAAAAACCAGAGGGCUGGCUCAUCCAAAAGCUUGGUGAUUGCUUGGAAGCCCAAACCCUUCUGGCCUACAAUAACCCCAUUGGCCCCACUGACCCCAAUGACCCCUUGAGCCAGUGACUUCAGUGACAUCACAUGAACCUUAUAAACCCAAUGAUCCCACAAUUCCCCAUUGACCCCAACGACCCUGCAUGACCCCACUGACCCCACCGAUCCAAAAGUUUCUAAUGAUACCCAUGACCCCAUAAGACCCCAACAACCCAUUUACCUCAGUGACCCCAUAGACCCCAUUGACACCACUAACCCCUUUAACACCAAUGGCCUUCAUUGAUCCCAGUGACCCCCAUUGACCCUAAUAAACCCAUUGACUCCAAUGACUCCAUGGACCCCAAUGAC
ensembl:lncRNA